GGAACCCUCCAGGAGAUGAUGCCAUAAUCUGACAUGGGCACCUCUAGGAUGGAGCAGGUGGAGCCUGGAAAUGGAGAAGCUGCAGAAAGAGGGAAACACCUCUGCCCCUGCAGAGCCCAUCAUCCAGAUCUUGGCCUGAUGGAAGCAGGAGCUCUGGGUAGCACAGCUGCAUUUAUCCACCUAAACUUUAAUUCAGCCCUAAAUCUACAGAUCUCACCAUUUUGA
rnacentral:lncRNA from 1 species